UGGGGAAUCUUGCGCAAUGGACGAAAGUCUGACGCAGCCACGCCGCGUGAGUGAAGAAGGCCUUCGGGUUGUAAAGCUCUGUCGAGCGGGACGAAAAUUCUAGGAGUGAAUAGCUCCUAGAACUGACGGUACCGCUAAAGGAAGCACCGGCUAACUCCGUGCCAGCAGCCGCGGUAAUACGGAGGGUGCAAGCGUUGCUCGGAAUUAUUGGGCGUAAGGGGGAGGUAGGUGGUCUUAUUUGUCUGGGGUGAAAGCCUUGAGCUUAACUCAAGAAGUGCCCCAGAAACGGUAAGACUAGAGUCCUAGAGAGGGUCGUGGAAUUCCCGGUGUAGCGGUGAAAUGCGUAGAGAUCGGGAGGAACACCAGAGGCGAAGGCGGCGACCUGGAUAGGUACUGACACUCAACUACGAAAGCGUGGGGAGCAAACA
rnacentral:rRNA from 1 species